rnacentral:rRNA from 1 species
GGAUUAGAUACCCUGGUAGUCCACGCCCUAAACGAUGGAUACUAGAUAUUUAAGAUUUACUCUUAAGUGUCCCAGCGAAAGCGGUAAGUAUCCCACCUGGGGAGUACGCUCGCAAGGGUGAAACUCAAAGGAAUUGACGGGGGCCCGCACAAGCGGUGGAGCAUGUGGUUUAAUUCGAUGAUACGCGAGGAACCUUACCUGGUCUAGAAUGCGCGUGAACGAUCCAGAAAUGGAUUUUCCCUUCGGGGCACAAAGCAAGGUGCUGCAUGGUUGUCGUCAGCUCGUGCCG